GGCCACCAAGCAACUUCUUCUUCUUCUUCCUCUUCUUCUCUUCCUCUUCUUAUCUAGUUUUAUCGAAGACCCACAACCCAAAAGGCAAGUCAUGGAGAGGCUCAACACCCAACUGUACUUGCAGAACUGCUACAUCAUGAAGGAGAACGAGAGGCUGAGGAAGAAAGCACAGCUUCUCAACCAGGAGAACCAGGCUCUCCUGUCUGAGCUGAAGCGGAAGCAGAAGCAGACGCUGGCCAGCACCAGUGCCACCUCCAAUCCCAGUCCCAAAAUCCCAGACCUCAACGCUACUCCCCCAUCAUCCACCAUGACCUCCAGCAAGCACUCAACUUAGUAGAAACAUCUCUUCUACAGGACUUUUAAUCUUUUUUGGA